rnacentral:rRNA from 1 species
UACGUAGGGGGCUAGCGUUGUUCGGAAUUACUGGGCGUAAAGCGCACGUAGGCGGAUAUUUAAGUCAGGGGUGAAAUCCCGGGGCUCAACCCCGGAACUGCCUUUGAUACUGGGUAUCUGGAGGUCGAGAGAGGCGAGUGGAAUUCCGAGUGUAGAGGUGAAAUUCGUAGAUAUUCGGAGGAACACCAGUGGCGAAGGCGGCCCACUGGCCCGGUACUGACGCUGAGGCGCGAAAGCGUGGGGAGCAAACAGG